GGGGCAGUGGUGGAAUCGGUAGACACGAGGGACUUAAAAUCCCUUGUUCGCAAGGACGUGAGGGUUCGAGUCCCUCCUGCCCCA
rnacentral:tRNA from 1 species